rfam:Pristionchus pacificus strain PS312 contig10478, whole genome shotgun sequence.
GCCCGGUUAGCUCAGUCGGUAGAACACCAGACUCUUAAUCUGGCUGUCGCGGGUUCGAGCCCUGCAUCGGGCU